GAAUUCGCCCUUAGAGUUUGAUCCUGGCUCAGGACGAACGCUGGCGGCGCGCCUAACACAUGCAAGUCGAACGGAGCUGAGAGGAGCUUGCUUUUCUUAGCUUAGUGGCGAACGGGUGAGUAACGCGUGAGUAACCUGCCCUGGAGUGGGGGACAACAGUUGGAAACGACUGCUAAUACCGCAUAAGCCCACGGCCCGGCAUCGGGCUGCGGGAAAAGGAUUUAUUCGCUUCAGGAUGGACUCGCGUCCAAUUAGCUAGUUGGUGAGGUAACGGCCCACCAAGGCGACGAUUGGUAGCCGGACUGAGAGGUUGAACGGCCACAUUGGGACUGAGACACGGCCCAGACUCCUACGGGAGGCAGCAGUGGGGGAUAUCGCACAAUGGGGGAAACCCUGAUGCAGCGACGCCGCGUGGAGGAAGAAGGUUUUCGGAUUGUAAACUCCUGUCGUUAGGGACGAUAAUGACGGUACCUAACAAGAAAGCACCGGCUAACUACGUGCCAGCAGCCGCGGUAAAACGUAGGGUGCAAGCGUUGUCCGGAAUUACUGGGUGUAAAGGGAGCGCAGGCGGACCGGCAAGUUGGAAGUGAAAACUAUGGGCUCAACCCAUAAAUUGCUUUCAAAACUGCUGGCCUUGAGUAGUGCAGAGGUAGGUGGAAUUCCCGGUGUAGCGGUGGAAUGCGUAGAUAUCGGGAGGAACACCAGUGGCGAAGGCGACCUACUGGGCACCAACUGACGCUGAGGCUCGAAAGCAUGGGUAGCAAACAGGAUUAGAUACCCUGGUAGUCCAUGCCGUAAACGAUGAUUACUAGGUGUUGGAAGGAUGACCCCUUCAGUGCCGCAG
rnacentral:rRNA from 1 species